UGUGUAUAUAUAUGUGUGUGUUUCUCCAUCUUGUAAGGGUUUUGGACGCAGACACACACACACACACACACACACACACACACACACAC
rnacentral:miRNA from 1 species